rnacentral:rRNA from 1 species
CAUGCAGGCGGUUAUACAAGUAGGAUGUGAAAGCCUGGGGCUCAACCUCAGAACUGCAUUCUAAACUGUGUGACUAGAGUAUUGCAGGGGGAGACGGAAUUUCAGGUGUAGCGGUGGAGUGCGUAGAUAUCUGAAAGAACACCAAAGGCGAAGGCAGUCUCCUGGGCAAAUACUGACGCUCAUAUGCGAAAGCGUGGGUAGCAAACA